UACAGAGGUCUCAAGCGUUGUUCGGAUUCAUUGGGCGUAAAGGGAGCGUAGGCGGUCGGGUAAGUCGGAUGUGAAAUCCUGGGGCUCAACCUCAGAACUGCAUUCGAUACUGCUUGGCUAGAGGACUGGAGAGGUGAGUGGAAUUCACGGUGUAGCGGUGAAAUGCGUAGAUAUCGGGAGGAAGACCAGCGGCGAAGGCGGCUCACUGGACUGUACCUGACGCUGAUGCGCGAAGGCCAGGGGAGCAAACGGG
rnacentral:rRNA from 1 species